rnacentral:rRNA from 1 species
AGUGAACGCUGGCGGUAGGCCUAACACAUGCAAGUCGAACGGCAGCACAGUAAGAGCUUGCUCUUACGGGUGGCGAGUGGCGGACGGGUGAGGAAUACAUCGGAAUCUACUUUUUCGUGGGGGAUAACGUAGGGAAACUUACGCUAAUACCGCAUACGACCUACGGGUGAAAGCAGGGGAUCUUCGGACCUUGCGCGAUUGAAUGAGCCGAUGUCGGAUUAGCUAGUUGGCGGGGUAAAGGCCCACCAAGGCGACGAUCCGUAGCUGGUCUGAGAGGAUGAGCAGCCACACUGGAACUGAGACACGGUCCAGACUCCUACGGGAGGCAGCAGUGGGGAAUAUUGGACAAUGGGCGCAAGCCUGAUCCAGCCAUACCGCGUGGGUGAAGAAGGCCUUCGGGUUGUAAAGCCCUUUUGUUGGGAAAGAAAAACAGCAGGUUAAUACCCCGCUGUUCUGACGGUACCCAAAGAAUAAGCACCGGCUAACUUCGUG